rnacentral:rRNA from 1 species
UACGAAGGGGGCUAGCGUUGUUCGGAAUUACUGGGCGUAAAGCGCGCGCAGGCGGUCCUUCAAGUCAGAGGUGAAAGCCCAGAGCUCAACUCUGGAACGGCCUUUGAGACUAGAGGACUUGGGUACGGGAGAGGUGAGUGGAAUUCCGAGUGUAGAGGUGAAAUUCGUAGAUAUUCGGAAAAACACCAGUGGCGAAGGCGGCCCGCUGGACAUGUAUUGACGCUGAGGUGCGAAAGCGUGGGGAGCAAACAGG